rnacentral:rRNA from 1 species
UACGAAGGGGACUAGCGUUGUUCGGAAUUACUGGGCGUAAAGCGCACGUAGGCGGAUUUGUAAGUCAGAGGUGAAAGCCCGGAGCUCAACUUCGGAAUAGCCUUUGAGACUGCAUCGCUUGAAUCCGGGAGAGGUGAGUGGAAUUCCGAGUGUAGAGGUGAAAUUCGUAGAUAUUCGGAAGAACACCAGUGGCGAAGGCGGCUCACUGGACCGGCAUUGACGCUGAGGUGCGAAAGCGUGGGGAGCAAACAGG